AGGGUUUAAAAUAUUCGAGAGACCUUUUAUUUAAGAUGACAGGUCUCUAGCGUUUUUUUUUCAAAAAAAAAAAAAUUUAUUAAAAUAAACCAGAGACCGCUUAUUGAGAUAACCAAUCUCCUAUUUUUGAUAGAGAGACCUGUUAACUUUAAGGCGGGUCUCAUGUUUUGGAGCUUCCACAUAUGCCACUAACUCAUUCUCUUUAUAAUAACUCCUCUCUCCUCUUCACUCUUACCUAGUUACCCCUUUUGAUUUCCCUUCUCUUCUUAUCUCUCUUUCUCUCUCCUCCUUCAAACCCUAACCAUUUCCUUCAAGCCAAUCAACACCGAUUCAAAUCGAGCAGUCACGAAGAAAGAAAAGGAAAGAGGAAUGGCAAAAGAAAGAGAACAAAAUUACAGAUAUUAAGCUCUUUGAUUUCUCGAACGCUUGAUUAGUAAGAAGUUUUCCCCUUUUAAUUUUUUUUAUUUUUAUUUUUCUCUUAUAUGUGGUGCAAAAAAUAUGGGUUUUUUCCACUUCAAUCUUUUGUUAUCUAUAAGUUUAUUUGUUCUCGUAUUUCUUCUAAUUCCAAUGUUUGUUUUUUUUAAUUAUUAUUUUUAUAAUUGGUAUUUUGAAUCUAUGGUUUAUCAAUUGUCAGCAUGAUUUUAUGAAUAGUUUGUAUAAGGUAUGAAUAAGAAGAAAAUCAAAAUUUUAAGAUUUACAAACUAUAAUCUGUGAAAAUUACUCGUCAAUUUAUCCCAAAUUUUUUGUACUUUCUUUUCUUUAUGAGUAUUGAUCUCUUACAAUCUUAGUUGACCAGAUCUGGGUUUGAAUUUGAACAUAGUAAAAUGCUUGCAAUCUGGUAGAAAUUAAAGCCUAAUUGCAUGAAUUAUACAAAAAGGAAGGACAACGUCUGAUAAUAUGCAAAAGAUCAAAUUAAAGGCGGUGGUUAUUCAGUUACAUUUCUUCUGUCUUCAUCUACUGUGAGGUAAUAGUGAGGUUUACGGGAUUUUGUAAGAACAUUGAAGGUAUUGGACUAUUGAGAGUUCGAGAUUGCAAUUGAAGAAAUCGUUUCCAUCUCUUUCGCUUUGUAUAUAACUAUACAUAUAAUUUCAAUAUAAUUUUGUAAUGGAUUUAAAGUUUAAUAAAAUAGUUUGUAUCUAAAUAUGAAACAUUUAAUUAUGCAAUUUUGAUUCUUUUAA